rnacentral:misc_RNA from 1 species
UGUACGCUGUUUGGUUUUACAAUUUUUGUCCAUAUUUUCAUUAAUUUAUUGAUAAAAUACGUUGUACCCCGUUAAUUUAUUAAAAUCUAAUACUUAAUAUUAAUAGCAACAUUUCAAUACCAGGUUAUUAUCGACCUGUCAGAAAGUAAGAAGACAUUUUUCCGUCAAGCUGCUCUCGCAAAUUUCGCAAAAUAGGAGACGAAAGCCCCUUUAAGUUUUCUAAUUUUAUAUCGAAUCUGCCACCAAUCGGUGGUAGAGCGAUGCCUCGCUGCAGCAAACGCACUCGGAGUGGGGCUCCCACCAAUGAGGUGCUGCCGGGAGCGACUGCCAUAGACGAACAUCACCACCACAAGAGGUCUAGAAAUAGCAGUUCUCGACGACAUACCAAAACAGAAGACACCAGCUUCAGUGCAAGGAAAUGUUUAACUUGGUUCAAAGAAUACACGUCCGUGUCAGAGCCAGAUGUUUUAGGUCCUGAGGGAAUGGAAAAGUUCUGCGAAGAUUUAGGAGUUGACCCGGAGAAUGUAGUAAUGUUGGUGAUAGCUUACAAAAUGGGUGCCAAACAAAUGGGCUUCUUCACACAGGAGGAAUGGUUGAAAGGUUUAACUGAACUGCAGUGUGACAGCGUGCACAAACUACAGAACAAAUUAGAAUAUUUACGCAAUUUACUAAAUGACCCCUACGUAUUUAAGGCUGUAUACAGAUAUUCUUAUGAUUUUGCUAGGGACAAAGACCAGCGGUCGCUGGACACGGGCACGGCGCGCGCGCUGCUGGGCGUGCUGCUGCCGCGCUGGCCGCUGCGCGCGCCGCUGGCCGCCUUCCUGCAGCGCGGGCGGCGCUACCGCGUCGUCACCCGGGCCCAGUGGUGCAACAUCCUCGAGUUCAGCCGCACCAUAGACACGCAGCUCACGGCCUACGACGCGGACGGAGCCUGUGAGUUACUGCUAUCACUGUUACCGCGCUGGCCGCCUUCCUGCAGCGCGGGCGGCGCUACCGCGUCGUCACCCGGGCCCAGUGGUGCAACAUCCUCGAGUUCAGCCGCACCAUAGACACGCAGCUCACGGCCUACGACGCGGACGGAGCCUGUGAGUUACUGCUAUCACUGUUACCGCGCUGGCCGCCUUCCUGCAGCGCGGGCGGCGCUACCGCGUCGUCACCCGGGCCCAGUGGUGCAACAUCCUCGAGUUCAGCCGCACCAUAGACACGCAGCUCACGGCCUACGACGCGGACGGAGCCUGUGAGUUACUGCUAUCACUGUUACCGCGCUGGCCGCCUUCCUGCAGCGCGGGCGGCGCUACCGCGUCGUCACCCGGGCCCAGUGGUGCAACAUCCUCGAGUUCAGCCGCACCAUAGACACGCAGCUCACGGCCUACGACGCGGACGGAGCCUGUGAGUUACUGCUAUCACUGUUACCGCGCUGGCCGCCUUCCUGCAGCGCGGGCGGCGCUACCGCGUCGUCACCCGGGCCCAGUGGUGCAACAUCCUCGAGUUCAGCCGCACCAUAGACACGCAGCUCACGGCCUACGACGCGGACGGAGCCUGUGAGUUACUGCUAUCACUGUUACCGCGCUGGCCGCCUUCCUGCAGCGCGGGCGGCGCUACCGCGUCGUCACCCGGGCCCAGUGGUGCAACAUCCUCGAGUUCAGCCGCACCAUAGACACGCAGCUCACGGCCUACGACGCGGACGGAGCCUGUGAGUUACUGCUAUCACUGUUACCGCGCUGGCCGCCUUCCUGCAGCGCGGGCGGCGCUACCGCGUCGUCACCCGGGCCCAGUGGUGCAACAUCCUCGAGUUCAGCCGCACCAUAGACACGCAGCUCACGGCCUACGACGCGGACGGAGCCUGUGAGUUACUGCUAUCACUGUUACCGCGCUGGCCGCCUUCCUGCAGCGCGGGCGGCGCUACCGCGUCGUCACCCGGGCCCAGUGGUGCAACAUCCUCGAGUUCAGCCGCACCAUAGACACGCAGCUCACGGCCUACGACGCGGACGGAGCCUGUGAGUUACUGCUAUCACUGUUACCGCGCUGGCCGCCUUCCUGCAGCGCGGGCGGCGCUACCGCGUCGUCACCCGGGCCCAGUGGUGCAACAUCCUCGAGUUCAGCCGCACCAUAGACACGCAGCUCACGGCCUACGACGCGGACGGAGCCUGUGAGUUACUGCUAUCACUGUUACCGCGCUGGCCGCCUUCCUGCAGCGCGGGCGGCGCUACCGCGUCGUCACCCGGGCCCAGUGGUGCAACAUCCUCGAGUUCAGCCGCACCAUAGACACGCAGCUCACGGCCUACGACGCGGACGGAGCCUGUGAGUUACUGCUAUCACUGUUACCGCGCUGGCCGCCUUCCUGCAGCGCGGGCGGCGCUACCGCGUCGUCACCCGGGCCCAGUGGUGCAACAUCCUCGAGUUCAGCCGCACCAUAGACACGCAGCUCACGGCCUACGACGCGGACGGAGCCUGUGAGUUACUGCUAUCACUGUUACCGCGCUGGCCGCCUUCCUGCAGCGCGGGCGGCGCUACCGCGUCGUCACCCGGGCCCAGUGGUGCAACAUCCUCGAGUUCAGCCGCACCAUAGACACGCAGCUCACGGCCUACGACGCGGACGGAGCCUGUGAGUUACUGCUAUCACUGUUACCGCGCUGGCCGCCUUCCUGCAGCGCGGGCGGCGCUACCGCGUCGUCACCCGGGCCCAGUGGUGCAACAUCCUCGAGUUCAGCCGCACCAUAGACACGCAGCUCACGGCCUACGACGCGGACGGAGCCUGUGAGUUACUGCUAUCACUGUUACCGCGCUGGCCGCCUUCCUGCAGCGCGGGCGGCGCUACCGCGUCGUCACCCGGGCCCAGUGGUGCAACAUCCUCGAGUUCAGCCGCACCAUAGACACGCAGCUCACGGCCUACGACGCGGACGGAGCCUGUGAGUUACUGCUAUCACUGUUACCGCGCUGGCCGCCUUCCUGCAGCGCGGGCGGCGCUACCGCGUCGUCACCCGGGCCCAGUGGUGCAACAUCCUCGAGUUCAGCCGCACCAUAGACACGCAGCUCACGGCCUACGACGCGGACGGAGCCUGUGAGUUACUGCUAUCACUGUUACCGCGCUGGCCGCCUUCCUGCAGCGCGGGCGGCGCUACCGCGUCGUCACCCGGGCCCAGUGGUGCAACAUCCUCGAGUUCAGCCGCACCAUAGACACGCAGCUCACGGCCUACGACGCGGACGGAGCCUGUGAGUUACUGCUAUCACUGUUACCGCGCUGGCCGCCUUCCUGCAGCGCGGGCGGCGCUACCGCGUCGUCACCCGGGCCCAGUGGUGCAACAUCCUCGAGUUCAGCCGCACCAUAGACACGCAGCUCACGGCCUACGACGCGGACGGAGCCUGUGAGUUACUGCUAUCACUGUUACCGCGCUGGCCGCCUUCCUGCAGCGCGGGCGGCGCUACCGCGUCGUCACCCGGGCCCAGUGGUGCAACAUCCUCGAGUUCAGCCGCACCAUAGACACGCAGCUCACGGCCUACGACGCGGACGGAGCCUGUGAGUUACUGCUAUCACUGUUACCGCGCUGGCCGCCUUCCUGCAGCGCGGGCGGCGCUACCGCGUCGUCACCCGGGCCCAGUGGUGCAACAUCCUCGAGUUCAGCCGCACCAUAGACACGCAGCUCACGGCCUACGACGCGGACGGAGCCUGUGAGUUACUGCUAUCACUGUUACCGCGCUGGCCGCCUUCCUGCAGCGCGGGCGGCGCUACCGCGUCGUCACCCGGGCCCAGUGGUGCAACAUCCUCGAGUUCAGCCGCACCAUAGACACGCAGCUCACGGCCUACGACGCGGACGGAGCCUGUGAGUUACUGCUAUCACUGUUACCGCGCUGGCCGCCUUCCUGCAGCGCGGGCGGCGCUACCGCGUCGUCACCCGGGCCCAGUGGUGCAACAUCCUCGAGUUCAGCCGCACCAUAGACACGCAGCUCACGGCCUACGACGCGGACGGAGCCUGUGAGUUACUGCUAUCACUGUUACCGCGCUGGCCGCCUUCCUGCAGCGCGGGCGGCGCUACCGCGUCGUCACCCGGGCCCAGUGGUGCAACAUCCUCGAGUUCAGCCGCACCAUAGACACGCAGCUCACGGCCUACGACGCGGACGGAGCCUGUGAGUUACUGCUAUCACUGUUACCGCGCUGGCCGCCUUCCUGCAGCGCGGGCGGCGCUACCGCGUCGUCACCCGGGCCCAGUGGUGCAACAUCCUCGAGUUCAGCCGCACCAUAGACACGCAGCUCACGGCCUACGACGCGGACGGAGCCUGUGAGUUACUGCUAUCACUGUUACCGCGCUGGCCGCCUUCCUGCAGCGCGGGCGGCGCUACCGCGUCGUCACCCGGGCCCAGUGGUGCAACAUCCUCGAGUUCAGCCGCACCAUAGACACGCAGCUCACGGCCUACGACGCGGACGGAGCCUGUGAGUUACUGCUAUCACUGUUACCGCGCUGGCCGCCUUCCUGCAGCGCGGGCGGCGCUACCGCGUCGUCACCCGGGCCCAGUGGUGCAACAUCCUCGAGUUCAGCCGCACCAUAGACACGCAGCUCACGGCCUACGACGCGGACGGAGCCUGUGAGUUACUGCUAUCACUGUUACCGCGCUGGCCGCCUUCCUGCAGCGCGGGCGGCGCUACCGCGUCGUCACCCGGGCCCAGUGGUGCAACAUCCUCGAGUUCAGCCGCACCAUAGACACGCAGCUCACGGCCUACGACGCGGACGGAGCCUGUGAGUUACUGCUAUCACUGUUACCGCGCUGGCCGCCUUCCUGCAGCGCGGGCGGCGCUACCGCGUCGUCACCCGGGCCCAGUGGUGCAACAUCCUCGAGUUCAGCCGCACCAUAGACACGCAGCUCACGGCCUACGACGCGGACGGAGCCUGUGAGUUACUGCUAUCACUGUUACCGCGCUGGCCGCCUUCCUGCAGCGCGGGCGGCGCUACCGCGUCGUCACCCGGGCCCAGUGGUGCAACAUCCUCGAGUUCAGCCGCACCAUAGACACGCAGCUCACGGCCUACGACGCGGACGGAGCCUGUGAGUUACUGCUAUCACUGUUACCGCGCUGGCCGCCUUCCUGCAGCGCGGGCGGCGCUACCGCGUCGUCAACCGGGCCAGUGGUGCAACAUCCUCGAGUUCAGCCGCACCAUAGACACGCAGCUCACGGCCUACGACGCGGACGGAGCCUGGCCAGUAAUGCUAGACGAAUUCGUAGAAUGGCUGCGGUCCGAGCGAGCCAACGAGGCGGCUAUGCCCAGCGCCAGCUGAAACAAGACGGUCAGGUAAACCCGCGGGUAAACACAUGCACAGCCCAACUCACUAUUAUAGAGGUUAUUAUACCAUACAUAAUACAGCUGUUGAAAUUUUUUACUCGACCGUACUGAUAUGUAGAAAGAAAGUAUUGAAGGUAUUGGAAUGAUUUGUCACUCGAUGUCCAUCAAUUGUUAUGUCUUACCAGUAGAUAGGUAAACCCGAUGGAAAUAACACGUACGCCAAAAUCUUAUACUGCAUAUAUAUAUAUAGGAUUAUUCCGUGAACAAUUUUUAUGAAUCACAAUAACAUACUGGCAAGGCGAAAGAAUUAAUUUUAAAAAUCGAAUGUCAAACCGUACCAAUCAAUAUGAUUGGUUUGAAUUAUAAAUCGAGGUCUCGAAUGUUUUUUUUUAUAUUUUUUUUUAUCUUCCACUUGUAACGUGAAACAGUUUUUCAGACCAUUUGAGUAUGAGAAAAGCCUGUGGGCAAAAGACUGGUGGAUAGAGAUCUUUAUUUCUUUUUUUUUUAAAGUACGGUUAAUCGAUUCUGCACGCCUUGAUGAUAUGAGAUAAAGGAUAUUUUGCAUUGUUGUUUGAUACUGAAUGUUCAUCACAUCACUGAUAAUUUAGAGGUUGUGGGCCAAAUUAUUAUAAAAUACAUACAAAUGAUCUCGCCUCCUUUUCGUUCGGUAAAAAGAGACUAUAUCUUUCCACUUGCUAUGAUCAUACAAUAACAUAUUGAAGUUUUAUAUAAUUGGCUAUCACAAGCUUGUAUCACUUGAAUGUCCAAUGAGAUACUGAAAAAUAGAUCCGAUAACAGAUGGUCGCCUUAAAAGGAUUAAGAAACUGGCACCAAGAUGUGCGCGGUCGAUUGACUUAUUAGUUUAUAUACACACCUGCCCAUCUAAUAAAAACGUCUGAACAUGUCAAUCUUUCUUCUAUUGGUGAUAAGGCGGUGCUGUAGUUUCAGAGAUUAAACCAAAGAAACAUCUCACAGAUAAUCAAUCAAUUGAGCUUCUUUUAUUACUUGUUCGCGUACCUAGUGAUGUGACUUUGAAUGAAAAUAUCAAAAUUAUCGAUGUUUCUUAAUCUAUAAAGUAUUAACAACUAUUCACAGAAAUAAUAUUAAUCGCACAUGUUUCUUACCGACUUACUGACCGUUAGGAAUUUUACAACGUGAGUUUGUUUGUUAUCACAUAACUCAGAAAACUUCUUACUUUAUUAAUAUGAAAAAUUUUUGGUCCUAUUAAUGUCCAAAUAAAUAUGAAAACAAAAGAAAAGAAAAAUAAUUGCAUGCAAUAUCCUUAUCAAAUUAAAUUCAUUCCCAAAUUGAAUGUUUUAUGUGUAAUUUAUAUUUGAGACACUCAACUAUUUAAAAAAAAAUUUGAGCGUCUCAAAUACUACUUUCUACUCAAAUAUAUAUAAAGUACUUGAGUAGAAACUUAAAUACUGGUAUAUCAGUAUCAUGAAAUACCGGUAAGGCCUUCAUACUCACGCGCAACAUGUAGUAUGCUGGUUUCUCAUUACCCCCACCAUUUGGAGCGAACGUUUCAGAACACUGUCAAACGAUAAAGGUUUCAACAACGAGGUGAGAAAUAAUGCUGAAGUGUUUAAAAAAGCAUUUUGAAAAACCUCAUUAAAUUUGAAAUCUUAUCUUUGCUUAAUGUCAGCUAUAUAUCGGAUAAGAUCUGAAAAAUUAAGGAACGGGUUCGAACAAUAAUGUAAACGUGCCGAUAGUCACAAAUUGACGAUGGUCCACGUAAAAUAACUGACCAUUUCGUGUGCAAGUUUCGUUUAUACUUCGCCGCGAUAUUUGUGGUAGUUUUUGUAAGGAAAACAGGCCUUAAUGUGUAUUAGCUGCUCAGCUGACACCAUUGUAACCUUUUGGUGGGGGGAUAUUUAAAUAGGUCAACUGAUCGUCACAGCUCCACGUCCAUAGAAAAGCCGUUAAUUUUUUUAUUAAGAUAACACUUUGGCAAUGAAACCUUAAACGACAUUAGAGCGGUAAUAUUGAUUUUAAACAAUGACCAUCUUUUUCCGCUCAAGUUUGCUUGAAUAAGGUACGGAUUCAUACAUGGAAGAUAACAGAAUAACUAAAUAAUUGAAAUGUCAACGCCACGAUAACACGCUUGCACCAUCAAAUCACUAUCACAUGGGACGAAUAAGAUUCGUGUCCGUUCAUAACAAAACAGGUCAGAUGCCAGCAUCCCUGUUAAAGUUUAAUUGAAGAAAAAGAGUUUGUUCUUGACAGUCGGACUCACUUUUACAGGCCAAAUUGUCAUGCAUUAUACGAAUGAACGAAUAAUGAGUGAAAUUAUAUAAUCUUUUACAUAAACUCACUCAUAGAUGGCGUUGGCAUAUAACCACUUCAAU